UUUGCCAUGUUGGCCAGGCUGGGCUUGAACUCCUGACUUCUGGUGAUCUGCCCACCUCGGCCUCCCAAAGUGCUGGGAUUACAGGCGUGAGCCACCACGCCUGGCCAACAUUUUUUAUAAUUGCAGCAAGUCAGCAAGAACACAGAGGACACAAGAGGGUGUGAGUGAAUUGUCCUUCUGUCUGUGCUGUGGUGAGCAAAAGCAGUGGUCUCACAGUGAAAGUAGGAUGUGAGCUACUCUUCUAGGGGAGGGGAGUGUUUGUGAGGGAGUGGUUGUGACGUUUUUAUUACUUCUACCCAAAUUCCUCCAGCUACUCCCUCCUCAGAUUUUACGUUGUUCUUUUGCUUUAGAACGAAGGCCCUCAGCAUUCAGAUCCAGUCCAAGGGUUGGCAAAUUCUUUCUCUAAAGGCCCAGAUAGUGAAGAUGCCAGGCUCCACGGGCCACAGGCAAUCAUACAAUCUCUGUUGCAGUUCUUUGUUUCAUUUUACAACUCUUUAAAUGUGGAAAGCACCCAUUCCUAGCUCACUGCCUGGAAUGCGUGACCCUGAUCUAGGCAAAAGACUGUCUUCUGUCUGGUGAAAGAAACAAGUUGUUCAUUUAUUCUGCUAUGGGUCGUGGAUCUUUGUUUGCUUGUCUAUGCUUUGCUGGGUUUGCUGUGAAAUUACUUUUUGUACCCUUGGUGUUAUCAUGGAACAAUCCCAUCAUUUGAAGACUUGACUGGAACCCUGUAAAAGAGGACUUGUAUGGGUUAUCGUUGUUAUUGAAUCUGUAAUUCUAGAUGUAGCUAAAAAGCAAUUCCAUAAAAUACAAUGAGAUACACAGACACAUAUUAUUGAAGGAAGCCCCUGAAGCCUCCAAUGACAUUUCUGUUCUUCUUUCCUCUUCUCUGCCUUUUUCCUGUUUCUGCAGUGACUUGAACACUCAGUCAAGCUGUGACGGAAGAUCGCCACAUACAUGUUCUUUCCCCUGGAGCUGGACAUGGCCCCUUUCAUGGCCUCCAGGUCUAGGCGGGGGUUUUGGCCUGUUCUGUGUCUGGAGGGGCUGUGGUCAGGACAGGAACCCAGCUCGGAGCUCCUGUGAUAAGAUGACUGUUGAUAUUAAUAUAAACCCCACCUUCCAAAAACCUAUUUAUCCUGAUCUUAAGAUAAGACACACUUUAAUGAGCUGUUUUUGCCAGAUAUACUGAUUUUACUUUGAAUGUUUCUCUAACAAUUUUUGAUCCACUUUCAAACUGGCAAAGUCAGGUGGGAUCACAGCGAGAAGUCAGCAUUUUAAUUGGUAGAACAGGUGUUGAAAUACAGACAGACAUCGUUGCUUUUGCAGUUGUAGAUUGCAUUUUCCUUUUCAGAUCUGUAAUAUCGUGGGACCCUUGGAAUUUAAGCCUCCAGAAUACCAUGCUGCCCACUAAUGUGUGAGACACAUAUGAGUUUCCUACAGAUCUGUGACAAACGACCAAAAAGUUGGAAGCUUAGAACCACAGAAAUUAAUUUUCUCACAGUUCUAGAGGUUGGAAAUCUGAAAUCAAGGGGUUGGCAGGGCCCCACUUCCUACAAAGGGUCUAGGGGGAUUCCAUUCCUCACUGCCUCCAGCUGCCGUUGGUUCCAUAUGUACCUUCUGUGGCCAUGUCUCUUCCCUGGCUUCCUGGUCACACGGCCGGCUCCUCUGAGUGUGUGUCCAAUCUCCCUCUGCUUCUCUGUCAGGAGCAGUGGUCAUUUGGGGCCCAGGCAGAUCAUUCCAGGAGUAUCUCAUCUCGACAUCCUUACCUUGAUUCCAGCUGCAAAGACUGUUUUCACAAAUGAGGUCCCAGUCUCAGGUUCUGAGGGUUGAGACGUGGAUGUUAUGAUUUGGAGGAUGUUGUUUUUAGAGGGCCACUGUCCUAGCGCCAGCACUGUGGAAAGCAUGUUGCCUUUGGUUAGUUAUUGGCUUCUUCCUGGUGUCCUUUCUCAUGGCUGUCCCACCCGUCUUGUGGCACACAGAUGACCUCUUGAAUAAAACAAGAUCACCAGAGUCAGAGCUCCGUGUUGUCAGCCUGACCACGAUUCAUGUACUGAGGGAGGUGAUAGUACUGUUGCUAAGGGCAGGGUCACAAAGAUCUUGUGUUUUCAGCCAACCACAACCAUGGGAAAACACAGUAAAUAACACCUGGGACUUCCUGUUCCCAGUACCCGUGUCUCCCCCAUCUCACCAGGAGAGGUGCUGGUCAUGAAAUAAUGAGCAGCAAUCUUUGCCCCUUUUGAGGAAGCAGCUGUUUAGGUUGUGGAAUGGAUUUGACUUACGCUUUUCAAACAAACCCUUUACAUGUGGGAGGAAGAGUGCCCUCGCCAUCUCUGUGUCACAAACCAAACUCACGUUUGUCCCAGAUCCAACUCCCAUCACCAAACCCAUUCAGGACCCAUCUUGGGAGGGCCAGGGGCCAGGACAGGUGACUCGGGGACCCAGGUGUGCUCUGCCUUGGUAUCCUCACAAAAUGUGGGGUGAUUUCUACCUGAAACAUGAAGUGCACCCCAGUACAGUGUCUGCGUGGUCAGGCCUGGAUAAGUGUUGGUAUCAUGAGAGCCUUGUGUCUCUGUGUCUGAUGAUUUUGAAUGAUGCUGAAUUCUGCUGUUGUUUGUUAUAGCAAAGAGAGCAGGAUGAAUGGACAGUCCCAGCAGCCCAUGGACAGUCUCAAUAACAACAAGUAAGAGGUGCUCAGCGGUGUGGGUGUCAGGGGCCUCUGGCGGAGAGCCAGCGAUGGGCCCCUGUCUGCCCUGCAGGGCGCCCAGCAGAGCUCCUGCCACUUACCAGCUUCCCGCCUGGCUGCCCGUGGCUCUGCUAGGAGAUGCUGCUCCAUGCAGGGCCACAGAUGCUCCCUCCUAUUGGAGGAGCCCAUCUCAAUUCCUGGCCUCUGGGAGAAGGGAGGUUCCAUCUGGAAAGCUCAGUGUCCACUCUUCUUGCCUUGGGGUUGUAGAAAGAAUGAAAGGCUGGGAUGUUCCAGGAGUCCCGCUGCUGACUGCAGUCACCACUCCCACUAGAUGCGGUUCCAGGAAGCAGCUGGACCUGGGUGAGAGCCAAGCGGGGUGACCAGGCUCUCCUUGUCCCUGUAGCCUCCUGUGCAUCAGCCUGAGUCCCUGGGGAUUGACAGCCAGGCCAACAGGCCUCCCCUCCCUGCCCGGGCUGCCUGGUUGCUGACGGUGAUGAGUGACAGCAUUGAGUCCGCUGCGCUCCCUCUCCCAGGCUGCCUGGUUUCUGGCGGUGGUGCGUGACAGCAUUGAGUCCGCUGUGCUCCAUCUCCUUUCUCCUGCAUUACGUUUUCCUUAUUUGCUGACAUUAACCAUCAAAAGACCUUGGAGAGUGGCCACCACACCAGCUUUAUCCCGCAGCACAAAGACCAGUGGUUCAAGUGUGAUGAUGCCAUUAUCACCAAGGCCAGCAUCAAGGACGUGCUGGACAGCAAAGUUUGCAUCCUGUGGGGUGGGAGGAAGGCCCUGGGGCAGGGGCGGCCCCGUGGUGGCAGUGCUGCUUCCCCUCUGGUAUAGCUGAGACCAACCCUCAUGUGAGCAUAGAACUGCUCGAAGGUGUUGACCUUCAUUUGCUGAAGUAUGAGGGCCUGCUCUGGAUAGGAUGCCAGCCCUGACGAGCUCACAGGAGGGAGAGAAGGUGCCUGACUGAAGGCCCUCUCUGGAGCUGUUCCCUUAAUGCAGAGGACAUCCGGGCAGUUGUUUUUCUAACUGCAUGACCUGGACACAUCAGUUUUUUUGUCAGCUCCUCUCUUCUUUCCCAGUUUCAUUCUUUCAUGGCACAGAAACCCGUUGACCCUCCAGGGAUCAAGGGGACCCCAGCUGUCAGGAACUCCCUGAGGCCUUUGCACUUCACAUUCAGAGCAACACGGACGCCCUCUUGAGAAGUUGCAUUUGGAAGGCUCUGUGGUAUACUGGAUAGCCUUCAGGGCAACAAGGUGGAUAUGGACUGGACCCCCGUGAUCCUUGACAACAGCAGGCCCCACACAAGGGCAGGGCUGUCACGGGUGGGAGAGAGGCUGUGUGAGGUCGGGUGAGGCAAUGGGUGACUUCGUGGCAGGUGGGGGUGGUGGUCAAGCUGUGGUGAUGGGCAGGGCCAGUGCCACCAGCCAGCUACACACCUGUUCCUCCUUGGGGACUGAAAAGCCAAAACCUUCCAGCCAUGAAAUCAGGCCUGUCAGACCUGUGCAGAGUGCAGAGCAUGCGUGUUCUUUCCCGUCUUAGGAAUUAGAUGCGGGCAUCCUCCCUCUCUCUGCCUCUGCAGGUACUUGCUGUUCGAUCACAGUUCCUGGAAUAGAGUAGACUUAUCUGCAACUGGUCAGAAAAAAUGAAGGCAAUGCAUUGGCAAGCCUCACCAAGUGAUACCCCAUCCACCUCCCACCUCCCGGCCUGGUGACACCGUCUCCCAUGCAGAUGUGGCCCCUCUGCACCUGGGACCCGUGAAGUCAGGAUAGACCACAUGGAUGGGGAGGCUCCAGGAACUGCAGUGAAGAUGGAUCAGAAUUCAAGAGGAAGCAUGCUUUAAAACAAGAAUUAUCAGAGAAGUAGGGAUGGGCCCAGAUUUUCAGAAGAGGCUCUACAUGACCAAGUUCUGCUGUUUGUGUGACAGUGCCAUAAAGAUCUCUUUUGGGGGCAAGAGCUCUCUUUUAAUCCGGAACAAAUCUAAUGAAAAAGAGAGUUGACUGAAGUUGGCCUGCAGGAUUGCAAGCCGGGUAGCGCCUUUCUUGAAGGCUUGCCACCUCGGGCCACCCUGGUUUACGGUGAUGUCCUCUGAAGAGUGUGGAAAGCAGGUGUGAGGGCCUUGGGUCUUUCUGGUAGCUGCUGGGGUUUGGCCAAACCUUGCCUCCCCACGUCCCCCUGGGCCCCUUCCUGUCUCCAUUUGGAUUCAGGGGUGGCUGUUGCUCUGAGAACACUGGAACUGGGAAGAGAGAUGGAGCUACAUGCAUUCCUGGUGGUCAUUAUUCUAAACUUUUGUAUCCAAGUUAAUCCGCUAUUCACUGUGACAUUGCCGUUUCUAGGUUCAGGAAAUCUCUCCUUUUAGCUCCCGAUCGGGCUAUGAAAUUCAGGAAACCUGUUCUCCUGUUGCCUAGUAAUCACCUCACGUAGGUGUAAAUUGUGACAAAGUGUAUCUGACCACUUAGGGACCCCCUCGAUGACCCCCCCCAACACAUUCCCACCAGUGUAUUAAAAAUCGCCUACAUGUCUGAGAUGCUGGCUGUCCUUUCAGUACUUCACAGGAAGUCAAAUGGGAUUUCCCGCUUCGGAUGCCUGAAGGGAAUGCUUUGAGGUGGGUGAUGUGUUGGGAGUGUGGGUGGCCUCCCUUCAGCCCCGGGGCUCUCCAUGGGGCUGGGCUCCCUGGCAGGCACUGGAACCUUCCUGGAUGUUCCCUCUUGUGCCAGCACCACUGCGACAUAUAGACCCGAGAGCUGUUGUAUUUUGGCUUGGUGUGUAUGCUUUUCAUGGUGUAAAAUUGCUUUUGACAGUUUGACUGCUUUAUUUACUGUAAGUUU